CGGCGAUCUGGCCAGCGACAUGGCCCUCGAUGUUCUCGAGGAGAUGAUCGACGUCAAUCCGCCGUUGGGAUCGGCGACCGCGGC
rnacentral:tRNA from 1 species